AGGGUUGUGUUUAUAUUUGCAUCCAAAACAUAAGUGCUCAAAAAGUGCAUAUCUGGUUUAUCAUUGUCAUUAGGAAAAUAUAAGAAAAUAAUUUAGGAUACAACAAUUAUUGUUCAGCACAGCAAUUCAUUUCUUUUGUAUGUCACUAUUCCUUCUACAGUAUGUAGGCUUACAUAUUUCAAACCCUUUGUUUUCAAUAGACAAAGACACAAGUUAAUUCAUAGUUCAGAGUGGAUGUUGAUGCAGGUUUUAGAGAGGCUUCAUAUUGACAUAUAAAAUUGGUCUUUGUGGUGGUGUACAUAACACCAUCUUUAUGUAUUAUGGUUUUAAUCAUAAUUUUUUAAAUGAUGGCUAUGUCCAUGAGCUACCACCCACCAUUGUAAAGCACCACCAAGCUAGCAUUUUGUAAUAGAAAUCAAUAAUUUACUAUUUAUUUUUGAAGCAUCUCCCCUACAACAUUACAAUGCAUUUAGUAUUUGUUUUGUAUUCAGAUCAAAUUCUACUAAUCAUAAUAACUAAGAUGCAGUGUUUUGUAUUUCACAAUUUAUAUUUUCUUUUGAAAAGGGGCCAUGACUUGUUUUUUAUUUUAUUAUGUGUUUUAUAUUGGAGGCAGAUUACCAUGCAAUUUGAAGAAGUGUGAUAAAAUACACAGAGCUAAGAUGAGCCUGAAGAGGAGAUUUGGGAAGUCUUUGCUUUGCCAGAUCACCUGUGGUCGGGAUGUCUGCCUUGUUGGUCUGGGCGAGUUUGAAGUCUCUCACAGACAGUCCAGAAGGUCUGGAGUCCAUCUUAGCUUUUAUUGAUGCUGUCAUCAGGUUUUAAGUACAGUAUGAGCCAGAAUGGAAGGGUGUUGGUGGCCAUAAGAAGACUGUGAGCUAAACCUACAACAAAAUUCAUAUUUGCAGUUUUCCUAGAAUAUUUUUUUCUAUUCAGAUGAAUAAAAUGACUUUAAAAUAUUA